rnacentral:rRNA from 1 species
UACGUAGGGGGCAAGCGUUGUCCGGAAUUAUUGGGCGUAAAGAGCUCGUAGGCGGUUUGUCGCGUCGAAUGUGAAAACCCGGGGCUCAACUCCGGGCCUGCAUUCGAUACGGGCAGACUAGAGUUCGGUAGGGGAGUCUGGAAUUCCUGGUGUAGCGGUGAAAUGCGCAGAUAUCAGGAGGAACACCGGUGGCGAAGGCGGGACUCUGGGCCGAUACUGACGCUGAGGAGCGAAAGCGUGGGGAGCAAACAGG